rnacentral:tRNA from 1 species
GGGCGAUUAGCUCAGUUGGGAGAGCACCUGCCUUACAAGCAGGGGGU